GGCCUCGCGACACGCGCGCCAAACUUCAAAUCAAACUAAAAAACUCUGCACGACCUGCAAAUGCCGCGAGUGAAAAAAAUAAUAGAGAAAACUUCAACCGACCGACGGACUGCAGCGAUUGCGACUUCGCCCAACACCAGGCGUGUGAAAUUGGGGAAAUGAAGUACGACCAAUUAAUCGCUUUCGAGGCCUGCAACAGCCGAGGAAUCUCUCGCCGCUUUCUGUGGCUGCAAAUUUGUGAAACAUUCAACAAAAACCGAAAAGCCGAAAAGAAAAUCCUACGAUCCAAGGGUUCUGCAUCUUGCUUUUGAUCAAGCACGACGUACAGGAAAAAUUCGGGAAUUUUCAAGAGACCAUAAUCUUCCAUACAGUACACUUCAACGGUACCUCCAGAAAGCACCUAAAUCAAAUAAGCCAGGACCUAACACUAUUCUACUUCCUGAAGAAGAAGCUAAAAUUGAAGAAUGGAUUCUUUACAUGUCUAGAGCUGGAUUUCCUAUUAGUGAGUGUAAUCUCACUCAUACAGUUACUGAGUAUGCUGAAAAGAUCCGGAAGACGCGAGAACUGCCAGAGUCAUUUCCGAGCAAAAACUGGUCUCAAUGCUAUUUGAAACGACAUCCAGCUAAUAAGAAGAAAUAAUUCACGAGACUUCCGAGAGCAGGUGCAAAAGUAACCAAGAAUUAAAUUAUUGGCUGGUUUUCUGAAGUUGAAGAAGCCCUCAAAGAUGCUGAUAUUGAUCUUUCGAUUUUCAACGACCCACAACGAAUUUAUAAUUUUGACGAGUCGGGAUUCCAACUUGUACCAGCUCGAUUUAAAGCCUUGUGUGGUGUUGGAGCCAGUAAUGCAUAUUUUGUUAACAACAACUGCGACAAGGAGAACUUCAUAGUAUUGUUUGGAAGUAAUGCUGAUGGUGAACUUGCACCUCCAAUGAUUAUAUACCCUGGCAAACGAAUAACUCGUGAGAUUGCCGAGAAUAUCCCAAGUGGUUGGUCAGUGGGAGUUUCUAAUGAGGGGUGCCAGACGUGUAAAACCUUUUUCGAGUAUAUAGCCAAUGAUUUUUACAAAUGGCUGAUGAUGAAAAAUAUUGAAUAAUCUGCUAUUGUUUUUAUCGAUGGACAUAAAAGCCACGUCAGCAUUGAGUUUACAGAGUUCUGUACGGAAAAGAAGAUAGUUUUGAUAUCUCUUUUUCCAAAUUCGACAAGGUUCCUCCAACCCUUGGAUAAAGUUUUUUUUGGACCAUUGAAAAAAGUUUGGUUUAAAAUAUUAAGAGAGUUCGUUGGAAAUAAGAGUGACGCCCGGGUGAACAAAGCCAAUUUCGGGACACUAAUGAAAACAGCGAUCGCAAGUUUCUUUAAUUCGAAAGAAUGCCUUAAAAAAGGUUUCAAAGUGUGCGGAAUUUGUCCCUGGAACUUGAACGAGAUCGUUUUCAAUAACCUUCCAUCGAAUGUUCCUGAGCCGGAGAGUAAAAUACCUGAUGAAAAUACAACCGAUAUAAACGGAAAUUUGAAUCCUGUGCUACGAGAGGAAGCUGCCGGUUUUUACCUACAUCAACUUUAUUUCGUUGAAAAAGGAUUAGAAGCGGAGGUACUAUCGAGAUUUAAAGAUCUCAUAGACUUCUGGUACGGCUGUUUAGAAGAGCUUUUAUUUCAAUUUUUGGAAAAUUAUAAAGGACAAGACCGAGGGACUUAUGUUUUCGAAGCCUCUUAAUCAGUACGGGAGCGUUUCUUUGGAUUUUACUCUCGACGGCAGUGGCAUCUGUAUUCCAGCUCAAAUAGUAAAAUCAGUGAUUGGUAGCUUUUUAGCAGUAAUAAUUUGUGAGGUUUAAUAAACUAAGCAUAUUUCUCACAGGUUACAAAUCAAAUAUUGAUGAAUCUGACCUCAAUGGUGAAACAAGAAAUCACUCUGUUAAGGUAGAAGAAACAGGAUCAAAUAUUCAAUCUAAUGGAUCGAUGAUAUGCUCAUUUGGCCUAGAGUAGAUGACAAGCAAACUAAUCGAAAUAGAAAAGCUCAAGAACAUGUUCCUUCCGUGGCCACAAGUACCAAAUGGCUCGAAUGGUACCACAAGAAGGAUCACGCAAAGAAAGAACAGGAAAAGGCGAAACUAGCACGGACUGAGAAGAAAAUUGAGAGAAAAUUGCAGAAACAGUAAAAAAUGGAAGAACCUCAUAUGAAAAAGUUGGCAAAAGAAAACAAGAAAACGAAGACGAUGAAAUCAAAGUAAAAAAUCAAAGAAAAAAUUGGAAAAGGCUGCCAUUUUGAAU